AACAAACGCUGGCGGCGUGCCUAAUACAUGCAAGUCGAACGGGGAAAGCUUUCGGGUGAGUACUAGUGGCGCACGGGUGAGUAACGCGUGGAUAAUCUGCCUUAGAGUGGGGGAUAACUAGUCGAAAGAUUAGCUAAUACCGCAUAAGACCACAAGAACUGCGGUUCAAGAGGUCAAAGGUUUUUCGCUCUAAGAUGAGUCCGCGUAAGAUUAGCUAGUUGGUGAGGUAACGGCUCACAAAGGCAACGAUCUUUAACUGGUCUGAGAGGAUGAUCAGUCACACUGGAACUGAGACACGGUCCAGACUCCUACGGGAGGCAGCAGUAGGGAAUAUUGCACAAUGGAGGAAACUCUGAUGCAGCGACGCCGCGUGAGUGAUGAAGGCCUUCGGGUCGUAAAGCUCUGUCGCAGGGGAAUAACACAAUGAAUGUACCCUGUAAGAAAGGAUCGGCCAACUUCGUGCCAGCAGCCGCGGUAACAC
rnacentral:rRNA from 1 species